CCUACGGGAGGCAGCAGUGGGGAAUAUUGCACAAUGGGCGGAAGCCUGAUGCAGCGACGCCGCGUGAGGGACGAAGGCCUUCGGGUUGUAAACCUCUUUCAGCAGGGACGAAGCGUGAGUGACGGUACCUGCAGAAGAAGCACCGGCUAACUACGUGCCAGCAGCCGCGGUAAUACGUAGGGUGCGAGCGUUGUCCGGAAUUACUGGGCGUAAAGAGUUCGUAGGCGGUUUGUCGCGUCGUUUGUGAAAACCCGGGGCUCAACUUCGGGCUUGCAGGCGAUACGGGCAGACUUGAGUGUUUCAGGGGAGACUGGAAUUCCUGGUGUAGCGGUGAAAUGCGCAGAUAUCAGGAGGAACACCGGUGGCGAAGGCGGGUCUCUGGGAAACAACUGACGCUGAGGAACGAAAGCGUGGGUAGCAAACAGGAUUAGAUACCCUGGUAGUCCACGCCGUAAACGGUGGGCGCUAGGUGUGGGUUCCUUCCACGGGAUCUGUGCCGUAGCUAACGCAUUAAGCGCCCCGCCUGGNGGUACGGCCGCGAGACGUAACUACAAGAGUAGUAGCGNGNGAGACGCGACGACGACGACGACGGAGGAGG
rnacentral:rRNA from 1 species